UAGUCUUUUUUGGUGUUUGGAAAAUGAAUCGUUUCAAGAACCUUCCGAAUGUAACAUCAGAAAUCAGCAGGCACGGUCCGUUACCUAGCAACCCCAGCCGAACUCUGUCUGUCACCUAGCAACCCAAGCGGAG